AGAGUUUGAUCCUGGCUCAGAAUGAACGCUGGCGGCGUGCCUAACACAUGCAAGUCGAGCGGUAAGGCCCCUUCGGGGGUACACGAGCGGCGAACGGGAGAGUAACGCGUGGGUAACCUACCCAGAAGUGGGGGAUAGCCUCGGGAAACCGGGGGUAAUACCGCAUGUACUGCGGUCGGCAUAAGUCGACUGCCGAAAAGGCGGGGAUCCUUCGGGACCUGUCGCUUCUGGAUGGGCCCGCGUCCGAUUAGCUAGUUGGUGGGGUAAUGGCCCACCAAGGCUUCGAUCGGUAGCCGGCCUGAGAGGGUGAACGGCCUCAUUGGGACUGAGACACGGCCCAGACUCCUACGGGAGGCAGCAGUGGGGAAUUUUGGGCAAUGGGCGCAAGCCUGACCCAGCGACGCCGCGUGGAGGAUGACGGCCUUCGGGUUGUAAACUCCUGUCAGGUGGGAAGAAAUGCCCGUCGGUCAAUAUCCGACGGGAGG
rnacentral:rRNA from 1 species